CAUGCGCAGAGCCUCCCCGCGGCCCCGUUGCCCGGGGCUCUUUGCCGGCGGGCUAGCGGACAGCCAGGCGUGUGGGCCGGGGCGGUCCCGGUGCUGCUGUGCCCGCCGAGCCCCUCAGGUGAGAUUUUCAGGCAGUCUUUAAUAACAAAAAUAAUCAGAGAAGAAAGCGCUCUGGAAAACGGAAUUGCUCUUUCCCAGAAGAAAAUGAAAACCUUUUAAAAUUUGGUGCUGGUAAAGACCCUGAAAAUCCCGAGUGUUAAGAGACAAGCGUGUGUUGCAAUUGUUAUUUUAGAAAAAUAUUAGAAAAU